rnacentral:lncRNA from 1 species
AUAAUAUCCAUAUCAGUCAAAAUCAAAAACACUAUUCUUUUCUUUAACAACAAAAUUCUCACAAUUUACUAAAUCACUUCCAAUCAAAAUCCAAUCUACAUUGUAAUUUGAAAAGAUCUAAAGUUUCAAAUUCUAGGUAAAGCCAAAGAAUAAUUCUAGAAUUUCAUCCCAAAUAUAUUCUUUAUCUACACAGACGUUUCAUACAUGAUCUACAUACAGUUUUUAAUCCUUGAAGAAUAUUUCAAUUAAGAACUAUAAAAAUCUUUCAUGGCCCAAAUCUUAAACAACAUUUCAUAUGUGAACCUUAACUUGUCACCGAAUUAAUUAACUUCAAGCUAGAAGUAACAUCACAGUAUCCGAUAUUAAUUUUGAACUUCCAAAAUACUUACAUUGCACGAUAAUAUUCUGUGACUAAUACUCUUUCACUUAACUUAGUCAAAAUCCAAUUGAUCAUAUCUUGGAAUACAAAUUACUCCCCCAAGAAGACUCUCAGAAUAGUCUAUUCAUACUUUGGCUAUAAACACAGUUAGCUAGCAUUCUGAUUUCAGUAUCACAAAAUUCAGAUAAGAUAACACAAAUUUACCUCUAACAAAAGUAAACAAAGAUAUUUGU